UAUGAAACGUCGAGCGGACAGAUGUGAGAGCUUGCUCCCUGAUGUUAGCGGCGGACGGGUGAGUAACACGUGGGUAACCUGCCUGUAAGACUGGGAUAACUCCGGGAAACCGGGGCUAAUACCGGAUGCUUGUUUGAACCGCAGGGUUCAGACAUAAAAGGUGGCUUCGGCUACCACUUACAGAUGGACCCGCGGCGCAUUAGCUAGUUGGUGAGGUAACGGCUCACCAAGGCGACGAUGCGUAGCCAACCUGAGAGGGUGAUCGGCCACACUGGGACUGAGACACGGCCCAGACUCCUACGGGAGGCAGCAGUAGGGAAUCUUCCGCAAUGGACGAAAGUCUGACGGAGCAACGCCGCGUGAGUGAUGAAGGUUUUCGGAUCGUAAAGCUCUGUUGUUAGGGAAGAACAAGUGCCGUUCAAAUAGGGCGGCACCUUGACGGUACCUAACCAGAAAGCCACGGCUAACUACGUGCCAGCAGCCGCGGUAAUACGUAGGUGGCAAGCGUUGUCCGGAAUUAUUGGGCGUAAAGGGCUCGCAGGCGGUUUCUUAAGUCUGAUGUGAAAGCCCCCGGCUCAACCGGGGAGGGUCAUUGGAAACUGGGGAACUUGAGUGCAGAAGAGGAGAGUGGAAUUCCACGUGUAGCGGUGAAAUGCGUAGAGAUGUGGAGGAACACCAGUGGCGAAGGCGACUCUCUGGUCUGUAACUGACGCUGAGGAGCGAAAGCGUGGGGAGCGAACAGGAUUAGAUACCCUGGUAGUCCACGCCGUAAACGAUGAGUGCUAAGUGUUAGGGGGUUUCCGCCCCUUAGUGCUGCAGCUAACGCAUUAAGCACUCCGCCUGGGGAGUACGGUCGCAAGACUGAAACUCAAAGGAAUUGACAGGGGCCCGCACAAGCGGUGGAGCAUGUGGUUUAAUUCGAAGCAACGCGGAGAACCUUACCAGGUCUUGACAUCCUCUGACAAUCCUAGAGAUAGGACCUCCCCUUCGCGGGCAAAAUGACAAGUGGUUCCAGGAUUGGCGUCCUCCUCCUGUCCCUGAAGAGUUGUGGUGUAAUUCCCGCUAAGGAGGCCCACCCUUUGUGUGUUGUUUCUCGCGAU
rnacentral:rRNA from 1 species